GUCAAAAUCACAUGGACACUCAUUGGCUGUCACAGUUAGGCUUGUGGGUGUGACAACCAAUGGUCUGAAAGAACUCAGCGAUCGUGGAGCACGGGACUCUGUCCAGCCUACACAUUUUCACGCUGGAAGGAAGUUGGUUGUCUACAGCUUUGUGCACCCGGGUAACUAAGCCUUAAGCUUGGAGCUGAAACACCAACAUCACCAUCUAAGAACUAACUAUUCCUUCUUUAUUGUCUGAUAUUUAAAAUGGCGUGCAAGGGGUAAACUGUGUGAUCUGGGCCUGCUCUCUGGUUUAGGAUCAGUAGACUGAGGAGGUGUGUCUUGGCAGCAGUGGCGUACUGCAGCAGGCUGGUUUCUCUGGGCUGUCUGUCCAGUGGUAAAGGUUCCGCCCUGCUUCAUGUCCCUUUACCAUGUGACACCUGCCAGAGGUGUCCUUGAGAAGAACCGAUUGCACUGGGAACUCAGCACUCGAAGUACUGCUAUCAGCACUCGUGUUCUGGAAUGUUGCAGAUGAAUCCUUUGACAAUACCCGACCCCCCUGGCAGAUACUCCGUUUACAAGAGACUACACCCAGUAGCAGUUAUUUCCAGAUCCCGCUCAGCAACUCCUGGAGUCCUGAAAGACAUUGCAGGGGCCCAACCAGCAAACACCAGUCCUUGUGAAGACGCAUCUAGACACCACAAACACAUCCUGCCCUGAAGCUGCUCUCCGGGAGGUGCAUAGCAAAUUUCCCUACAAUCUGAUUUCUGAGCCGUUGUCUAGUGUCAUGUCUACUUUAGCUUAAUUUUUGUUAUAUUGUCUCACGUAAGGUGUCAAGGUGCACGGUUGUCGCUCAGGGCUUCCCACUUAGUUCAGGGUGUGACUUCCACAUUUCAGUCCACAUUCGGGACUGCACUUGGACCUGAGUCUUGGAGGGAUCAGGAGGCAGCUCUAGGCUACACAGAGCAGAAAACCUGAGGGAAGACAGAGCAGGGGAACCCCAGCUCUUCUGUUUUCUAACUGUGCUGGACAGGGACUCCUGCAAUGUGAGCCUCAGUUUCCUGGAGUUGGAAAAUCAGGUGGAGUGCACAGGACAAUUCUUGUAUCCUUUGGCUGGUUUCUCACCUAGUGUAGCUGCAAAGGCAGGAACAGGCCAGGUCUCACAGGGGUGGAGCAUAGGGGCACUGAAACACAUUAUCAAACACAUGGAGUAGGGGGAGUACUUGGGAGGGACUUUUGAAAUGCCCUGAAACGCUACACGUUGUACUUUCAGAACACUCGGGGGCUAGAUAGAGAGAACUGGGCUACCUCUGUCUACCUUUGCCCACCAGCUCACCUCUGUGGCUGCCAGCUUCAUUGAUUUUUACUUCACAAUGAACCAAACGAAACCCAGCAGGCAGACCAUCGCCGGUUGGUCCACGGCGACCCGAAGCGCAGCUCCCCUUUCCAGCCAGAAAUCGCAGUGCUUGGCGGAGCAGAUCUCUUUGAUCAGCCGCCACAGGACUCGCUGGUGGAGCUUGCUAUCCUGCUUCUCCCGGGAGAACUCAGCCUGGUUGGCCGCCUGGGUGGCGUUGACGCAGCUGGUCACCAGCAUCUCCUUGGUCACGUUGGCUUCAGAGCAGCCUUCGUAGUAGAUCCCAUCAGGGAACUGCCAAUAGUUAGCCGCGUAGUACCUGUUGCCCUCUGCUCCAAAGUCGAUGUCCAGCUUCCGGCCUUGCUUGAUGAAGGCUCCUGGGCGGUUCUCAGCUACC
rnacentral:lncRNA from 1 species